AAGCAUCAAAGAGACCGCCUCGAUCGUCGACCCGUCAAGUGUUCCGCCAGACGAUUGGCCAGCAGAAGUUUAGCUAAUUGUGUUUUCUUGUGGUGAAAACCGUCUCACCAGUGAGGAAGAACAAGGCGUGGAAUAAUAACCGCACUGGAGUGCGAGGUGCCGCGACACCGUAAAUUGGUCGUGGUGGAGAGUGAGGUGGCGUCUACGAUCAGCAUGGAAAGCAUGGCCAUGCUGGAGUAGAUAGGAGUACUUGAGAUCGGCCUUCAUUUCCUGUUUCACAAGCUGAAUUCCAUCAUGGCUGGAGCCGUGGUG